CAGUUUGUAUAUUUUCUGCCUUCCAGACAAGUCAUUAUAGUUUUGACCCAGCUUGAAGGAAGUGGUGGGUUCUCCAUUGCCCACAGACUGACUCAUCGUGUUUCAUCGUCAGGAGGGUUACAUGACUAGGGGACCACCUGGAACCAACCACAUUCCCUCAAUUGAUCAGAAAGUAUUUGGAUUGCAUGCUCCUCGACCUCUUUGAACCAGGGUGUUUCUAGUCAGAUUUGUUAACCUCAAUUUUUGUUUUGUAGUCACCAUAGUCAUUUGUCUUACCAAAGAUCUGCUCAUCAAAAUGAGGUAGUUAUACAACCAUCACUGAAUAUUGAAGAAGUAAGCCAAACUGAUGGUUACAAGUUUUAAUACAAGCAAUCAUUUUUCGAAAAUAAUCUUAUUAAAAUCAAUCAUUCUUGUCUUACUUUACCCCACCCUAAAAAAGUCCAACUGGAAAAUAUAUAGUACUUCAGUUUUAUAUGACAACGGAUUAUUUUACUAUUUGAGAUCGACUUUUGAAGUUAUAAAGAAAUUGUAUUUCAUAAUAGCUGGCUACACCAAGUUAUAAACAAAGAUAAUUGUAGAGAAAUGCUUUUAUUGAGAGACUCAUUUUUACAGUUAAUUGUAAAAGAUGGAGCCAGAAGAAAAAAAAAACUUUGUGGGCUUUAAAUGAUAAUUAUACUUGUGAGUGUGUUUGUUUUUAUGAGAUAAUAUAUACUAAGAGUUGUAUCAUAUUGUACAUUAUAUUUGCAUCUUUUUCACAUAAAAUUUGUUGUUUGUAAUUUGAUUAAGUUAAAAGAGAACUUAUUUAGAAACGAGUUGGGUAUGUUUCUAAGACUCUGUUUUUUUUUUUUAAUGGUGGAUAUAUAUAUCCACUGAGAGUUUGGUUCAACAUUUGUUGUUGUUUUGUUUAAUUAUCGGUAAGCCAGUAUGUAAACACAAUGUUUUGUUUUUGUAAUAGUGGAUAUAUAUAUCCACUGAGAGUUUGGUUCAACAUUUGUUGUUGUUUUGUUUAAUUAUCGGUAAGCCAGUAUGUAAACACAAUGUUUUGUUUUUGUAAUAGUGGAUAUAUAUAUCCACUGAGAGUUUGGUUCAACAUUUGUUGUUGUUUUGUUUAAUUAUCGGUAAGCCAGUAUGUAAACACAAUGUUUUGUUCAGUAUUUAACAAUGUGGUGCUUUCUUGUGUAAUUUCUUAGAAUCCAACAGUAUUUAACCCCCAACAAUGCAGUGACUUAUUUCCUGCACUGUUUUUAUCUUUAUUUUACAGAAUUUAUGUCCUUUACACAGCCAUCAAUCUGAGUUGAUAGUACAAUUUACUUAUGAAUGUGAGCUGAUAGUACAGAGUCUGUACUGUUGUAUGUAAGUGCUACACGUUGCGUUUCUGAUCUUUACUUAUUAAGUUACUUAUCCUGUUUCUUGGAUGUUCUGUAACCUCACUUAUUACAGAGGGAGAGUAAUUAAUCUUACACCAAAUCUUCACUACGUGGUUGAAAUGUCCUUUUCAAGGACUUCUUGGUAUGGUAGUUAACCACAUAAUGUUAGCUCGAUAGAAUAAAUUAGCCACAUAAGUAUUUUCCAAUUGUAUUAACUUUCAGUGUAUCAUAAUUAAUUUUAACCAUUUUUAAUUACAGAAAUCUCUUUAUUAUGUGUAGGCCAGAAAUGUACUAUUCUCAUAUUGUAAACACCGAGGUCUGGUUUUACAAUGUUAUCAUAUCCUGAAUUAUACAAAUCACUUUAUCAUUGUAGUAAACUGAACUAAUGUACUUUAUUGUAGUUCCCCUGGUGAGUCAGCAGCAAGUUUAUGAACUCAACAGUGCUAAUAUCCAGGGUUUGAUUCUCGUGGUGAACAGAGUAUAGGUAGUCCACUGUGUAGCUUUGCCUAAUAAAAUCGGUACUUUCCUUCACUGUAACAUGCAGUAACUUUACGGACUCAGAACACUUAAUUCCAGGGUUUUGGUUAGUACAGAUAGCUCAUCAUGUUGGCUUGCACUAAUGUGUAUGUCACUGUAAUAUAUUAGUGAAACAAGCUGGUAUACUCUUCUCGGAAGACAUGUUAAAACUGUCUUAAAAGUUCUUGAAUAAGAAAUUGCACUUUUAAUAUAAUACAGUAGAAAAUGUUUGAUAUUGAAUCAUUUGUUAAGAAUGUUCACAAUCUCAAUGACUUCGAGAGUGAAAAUAAUUACAAACACAAGAUUUUAAUUUUUAAACGAGAUGUAGACAACCAAAAGUUAGUAACUUAAGAAAUGUUAAAUCUAACCUGAACUUUCAAUAUAUUUAUGAUAUUAUGAAAUAUCGUGUUACUUCAAGAAUAAUAAAUUACUUGUUUACUUUUAUGUAAAGUUCACAUAAUUGUUUGUUUUUUUUUUACUUUACUUUAUUUCUAUAAAAGAAUUCAAUAAAAUUUCAGAUCAAUCUUAUUGGAACCAACAAAAUAUUUUCCCUUUUUGAUCUUUAUAGCCAAGUAAAAAAAAAAAGGGGGUGUGGUAGUCCAAAUUUAAAAUUUAUAUGUUACUAAACCUCAUGAGUGAUUAAAUAAAUCCAUGUGUUUCUGGAACCUCCAGUGUAGCAACGUGAAAGAACAAUGUCAGUGUUCAACCAAUAUGUGACUAACAAUUAAACAUGACAAUUGUUAGUCUCUAUUAAAUGGCUCUCUGGUGAUCUUAACCUCUUCCACAGUGUUUUCCUGGUUGUUUAUACAAGUAAUAUAUAUCUAUGGGUACAAAGUUUACCUCUUGUGACUGUAACAAAGCUGUCUAGUCAGAUUACAUUGUAACACAGAUUGUUAACUUUUGCAGGUUUUUAUUGUUGAUUAUCUGUCAUUACAGGAGAAUUAUUUUACAGUAAGAAGACUUCCUUUAGAAUGUCAUUCAGAUAUAUAUUAAAAUCAACACAGCACAUCUUCACAAAAUGUUACUACACUUUCACUGUAGGGUGAUACUUUGUAGUUCAUUCAGAUAUAUAUUAAAAUCAACACAGCACAUCUUCACCAAAUGUUACUACACUUUCACUGUAGGGUGAUACUUUGUAGUUCAUUCAGAUAUAUAUUAAAAUCAACACAGCACAUCUUACUACACUUUCACUGUAGGGUGAUACCUUGUAGUUGUUUCAGAUAUAUAUUAAAAUCAACACAGCACAUCUUCACCAAAUGUUACUACACUUUCACUGUAGGGUGAUACUUUGUAGUUCAUUCAGAUAUAUAUUAAAAUCAACACAGCACAUCUUCACCAAAUGUUACUACACUUUCACUGUAGGGUGAUACUUUGUAGUUCAUUCAGAAACACAACAAUGUCUCCAGGUAACACCCAUCUCUUUACUGAGUUGGAACUAUCCAACCUUGUGUUUAUACUCAUUGUCUCCAGGUAACACCCAUCUGUUUACUGAGUUGGAACUAUCCAACCUUGUGUUUAUACUCAUUGUCUCCAGGUAACACCCAUCUGUUUACUGAGUUGGAACUAUCCAACCUUGUGUUUAUACUCAUUGUCUCCAGGUAACACCCAUCUGUUUACUGAGUUGGAACUAUCCAACCUUGUGUUUAUACUCAUUUUCUCCAGGUAACACCCACCUGGCUCCUUCCUAGUGCUUAUACUCAUUGUAUCCAGGUAACACCCACCUAGCUCCUUCCUUCCUUGUGUUUAUACUCAUUGUCUCCAGGUAACACCCACCUGGCUCCUUCCUGGUGUUUAUACUCAUUGUCUCCAGGUAACACCCACCUAGCUCCUUUCUUCCUUGUGUUUAUACUCAUUGUCUCCAGGUAACACCCACCUAGCUCCUUCCUUCCUUGUGUUUAUACUCAUUGUCUCCAGGUAACACCCACCUGGUCCCUUCCUUACAAUAUCACUUAAUAAGUACUGAAGAGAAAACUACAUUGAUAAUUUGUACAGAAUUACAAUCUGUAGUUUUAAUAACUAACAUUUAGUCUUUACUACACUCCACCAGGUAGUGAAAUAUACAUAGGUAGAGUAGUUUUUUUUUACCAUCAUCUAAAUUUUGAGUGCCUUCUGGAACACUAAAAACUAGUAAUUAGAUUAAUAAACUGUCGUAUAAAGAUUCUAAAAUGUUUUUACAACAUGCCUUCAAUGCAUUAGCACCAAGCUUUCCUUCAUUUUGAUAUAGUCUUUUAAAAACGUUUAAUUCUGAAUUGGAAGAGUUUUAAUAUUAAAAAUAGUCAAAAGACAACAAUUGUGAUUACCAGAGAACAUCUGCUUAGCAUUCUAAGACUGGAGAGUUAAGUGGUCCAGUAUACUCUGUUGCUUUAUUGGCAUUCAAUUUUUCCAUUUGAUAGGAUGUGUUUGAACUGUAAAUAAAAGAUCAUGACUGUUGUAUAUACUGCAAUUUAAAUCUCAUUAAGAACAACCACAAACCUAUGUCUUUUCUAGUCUCUACACAGGAAAUAUUGGUAAUAGUGGAAUGUGUCUUACACAGCAACUACCUUAUACUCAACAGGUCUGGGGUAAAGAGGAUUUUAAGAUUACCUUUCUGUAAAGGGACUCUAUAUUUAAAUGAUGUUAUGUGUGAAAAUAUGGGCUGUUUGUUCUCGAGUAUUGAGAGAAUAAAGUUUCUAAACUUUCA